CUCAAUGAAAUUAAAUAGCCGCAAUACACUUGUGCUAAGGUAGCAUAAUCAUUUGUUUUUUAAUUAAAAACCAGAACGAAAGAUUUAACAUUUUUAUUUCUUUCUUAUAUAUAUAUAUUAAACUUAUUCUAAAUAUUAAAAAAUAUUUAUUAUUUAAAAAGACGACAAGACCCUAUUGAACUUAACUAUAGUUAAACUGGGGUAGUUAAUUAAAUAUAAUUUUAAUUUUAAAUUUUAAACAAACCUAAUACAAUUAAUUCAAUCAAGUUACCAUAGGGAUAACAGCGUAAUAUUUUUCUUAAGAUCUUAUUUAAAAAUUUGUUUACGACCUCGAUGUUGAAUUAAUAAUCUAUUAAAUGUAACAAUUUAAUAAUGAAAGUCUGUUCGACUU
rnacentral:rRNA from 1 species